UAAGUACCCCGAGGAAAAGAAAUCAACCGAGAUUCCCCAGUAGCGGCGAGCGAACGGGGAGGAGCCCAGAACCUGAAUCGGCUUGUGUGUUAGUGGAAGCGUCUGGAAAGUCGCGCAGCAAAGGGUGAUAGCCCCGUACACUAAAAUGCACAGGUCGUGAGUUCGAUGAGUAGGGCGGGACACGUGACAUCCUGUCUGAAUAUGGGGGGACCAUCCUCCAAGGCUAAAUACUCCUGACUGACCGAUAGUGAACCAGUACCGUGAGGGAAAGGCGAAAAGAACCCCGGCGAGGGGAGUGAAAUAGAACCUGAAACCGUGUACGUACAAGCAGUGGGAGCACCUUCGUGGUGUGACUGCGUACCUUUUGUAUAAUGGGUCAGCGACUUAUAUUUUGUAGCAAGGUUAACCGUAUAGGGGAGCCGUAGGGAAACCGAGUCUUAACUGGGCGAUUAGUUGCAAGGUAUAGACCCGAAACCCGGUGAUCUAGCCAUGGGCAGGUUGAAGGUUGGGUAACACUAACUGGAGGACCGAACCGACUAAUGUUGAAAAAUUAGCGGAUGACUUGUGGCUGGGGGUGAAAGGCCAAUCAAACCGGGAGAUAGCUGGUUCUCCCCGAAAGCUAUUUAGGUAGCGCCUCGUGAACUCAUCUUCGGGGGUAGAGCACUGUUUCGGCUAGGGGGCCAUCCCGGCUUACCAAACCGAUGCAAACUCCGAAUACCGAAGAAUGUUAUCACGGGAGACACACGGCGGGUGCUAACGUCCGUCGUGAAGAGGGAAACAACCCAGACCGCCAGCUAAGGUCCCAAAGUCAUGGUUAAGUGGGAAACGAUGUGGGAAGGCAUAGACAGCCAGGAUGUUGGCUUAGAAGCAGCCAUCAUUUAAAGAAAGCGUAAUAGCUCACUGGUCGAGUCGGCCUGCGCGGAAGAUGUAACGGGGCUAAACCAUGCACCGAAGCUGCGGCAGCGACGCUUA
rnacentral:ncRNA from 1 species